GCCCUCGUAGCAUAGUGGCUAUUGCGGCAGACUUGUAAUCUGCAGGUCGUGGGUUCGACUCCCACCGAGGGCU
rnacentral:tRNA from 1 species